UGAGCAGAACAGGCAAUCGCGCCGCGAAAGCGGUGAGGAAAGUCCGAGCUUCACAGGGCGGCGCGCCGGAUAACGUCCGGCGGGGGCGACCCCAGAGAAAGUGCUAUAGAGAUUUAGACAGCCGAUGGAGAUUUUCUCACAGGCAAUGGUGGAAAGGUGCGGUAAGAGCGCACCGGCGAUAAGGCAACUUAUCGGCCUUGGUAAACCUCGCGCGAAGCAAGACCAAAUAGGAAAGAGAUGACGCUGCCCGCCGAUCUUUCGGGUUGGUCGCUUGAGUCAGAAGGCGACUUUUGACCUAGAUAAAUGAUUGCCACAUACAGAACUCGGCUUAUGGGCUGCUCAAUAC
rnacentral:RNase_P_RNA from 1 species